CACUUUUGUAACAUUCUAAUAUUAGAUAACAUUUUUUAUAACACUCUAAUAUUAGGUAACACUUCAUAGUAACACUUUAUAAUUAGGUUAUUUAGGUAUCAUUUAAUUGUAACACUUUAAUGUUAGAUAGAACUUGAUUGUAAAACUUAAUUUGAUAAAAUAAUAGUAAAAAAAAAAACCCUCAGAGCCUCACAACUCUCUUUCUCCUUAUUUCUCGGUUUCUCCAUCAAGCAUUCAAGUUUUCGCUUUCUCUUGAAACUACACCUCCUUUCCACCGCUACCCCCUUCUCAAUCUCGGUGCUCCACUGUAGUCCACCGCAGCCUACCUCCAUCGCAGCACGUGCUCCUAGUUGAAGAGACAACGAUGUUUGCCCCCUCAAAAGACAUCGAUUGUCACCUCCUGGCUUCCAUCUUCGGCGACUUCCACCUUAAAGUUUGGCUUGUCGAGAACCCAAGUAAUUAUGGGCAAAAGAGAUGAAGAAAUCCAGGACAAUACCAGUUAUAAUUGGAGGAAUGGUGUUUGAUUACUUUGAUAUUCAAUAAGCUAUUGCUGCUAUUCCUGCUACUGCCAAAACCACUACUACUAGCAAGGUUUUUUGUUUAUUUUUAUUUUUUUAAAGCUCUAAUUAUGGAAUUGGAUUUUUAUCUUUCAUUAUCUCGAUACUUUUUCUUAUUAGUUGUUAAUUUUGUAAGAAAGUGUGAUAAUUGCGUCAUUUGCCACAUUUUCCAAGCUUUAAUUUUGUGGGGGUUUAGAUGAUUAAAUGGCUAAUUUCUGCAAUUUACUCUUUUUUUUCUUCUAGAUAUUGCUUAAUUUUUUUAUUUGGAUUUAGGUGUCUAAUGAGUUUAGCUUCUACUUCAGUAAAAAAAAAACUCAGUUUUAAUACUAUGUUUAUCUCUUUCCCAUGGCUACAUUAUCAGUUACGUCUAUAGUCAAGCUCUCGAUUAUACAAGGACUAGGAAAUUACCAUGAUUAUCUUACUUUAGUGUAUUAGUAACACUAAGAGGUGUUAUAUUCUUUUAAGGUCAAUUAACAUAUAUACUUAAGUAUUAGUUAGUAUUAAUCCCCAAAUUUAAUUACCAAUUUAUUAAAAAAGUUUAGGAUUAGCGCCAAAGCAAUUAAAUUGAAAUAAAAGAGAAGCAGUCAGUAAGCUUCUAUAUAUAGGCAGACAAAUAAUACUUGCUACUUCAAGAGUAGUUUGGGAUGUCAUUGUAUUAAUGCAAACUCUAGUUAUAUUAAGGGUUGGUCCCCUAAGAGCUAGAACUGAACAUCAUUUGUAGAACUUAAAAUGUUAGGUUGAACAAAAAGCAUCUAUUAGCAGCUCAUAAAUGCUUAUUAAACCACAAGAAAAUAGAAAGCGGAUAAGACUUUAAAAAAAAAAAUUAGAAUCUUGAUUGUUAAUCUAGCCGAGGUUCAAGACUUAUCAUAUGUCACAAGUCAUUAUGAUCCAAUUGCUGGAUUUUCGCUUUGUUUCCUCAGUAUCAUAAACAACAGCCGUUUUACUGAUAAGAGUUUACACAGAGAUAAGCCAUCAUGAUUACCUCAAUCAUAAAGUUGGGGUGAUGAGAAUUGAACCUCUAACCUCUUAGUUGAGAGAUUGCGAUCUCUAAUUUUCUACCAUCAAGUUUCUACUUGAUUCUCAUACCUUAUUGCUGCAUUCACAUACUUCGUAUUAAGCGUGCAACAAUGUUAUGCAGUUCACUAGAAAAAGCAUAUUUUAUUGUUCCUUGAGUAAGGUUAAUGUACUUAAUAGUACAAUGAGCUACAUAUACUUUAGUAAUCCCUCACCAAACUGUCCUUCAUGUUAGGUGUUUAACAAAGAUGUUGCCUUCAGAAUAAGGGUAUAGAAAGAAUGAAUUUCGUUGAAACUAUGAGCUCUCUGCAAUUCUUCGAGGUUGUGUGCAAUUAAUCUUGCUAAUAGUCUGAAUUCUUAUGGUGGUUGGCCUGUAUGUCCUAGUUCUUAUGUGAAGUCUGGUGCUCAGUUGCUCUUUCUAUGCUCAAUUGCUCUUUCUGUGCUCAGUUGCUCAGGUGCUCGAAUCUGUAGUCAGCUGCCUAACAAAGGUAAUAAGCUCUUAAACCUGUAUCCUAAUCAGUGAAAGUGACCAGUUUCGGUCCUAUGACAUGCAUGCAUAAUUCUGCAGAACAAAAUUCAAUGCAUGGAUUUGUGACUUAAUUCCUGCAUCUGAUCCAUGUAGGGAGAAAACCUUUAGUUUGAACUUUAUGCAUGCAAUAUCAGUUAGCUAGUCAUAUAUGAACUUUCCCUAGUAGGUAUGUUUCUAGUAGCGUUAAAACAUGUUUAGCAUGGUGUAUCAAUUAAACAAGUGUCAAAUCUAGUUAUUAAUAAUUCAAUCCAUGAAUAAUAAAAUGAUUACUCUCACUUGAUCAUUUCCGUUUUUUCAUUUUUACACAGGAAUCGAACAGCCCUUCAUGGAUGUAAUGCAAGUUUGUAUUCCUUGUUCCUCAAUGGUGAAUGAAAAACUAUAGUUUUGUUCUAGCCUGUUCACUUUAUAGUCUGCCAACAAUGAAAAUUGGACAUAGUUUUGUUCUGGCCACUCUCUUCUGAGGUAAAUCAAGGUGGAAUUAGCUAUGUAAACUCUGAACAUCAGGCUAAUAAUCUGCUAGGGGUCUGAUACUCUGAAAAUCUGAAAUUUUGUUUGUCAUCAAUAAUGUUUGUCAACUUGUUGUCUUGUGUGUUCUUUGUAGGAAGCAAGAUCUAGAUGGCAGAAUAUGAAAAACGUAGACAAGCAAGGAUAGAACAAAAUAGAAGCAAAAUAAAGGAUUUGGGGGUAACAUCCAUGGCUUAUGAAAUGAAAGAGUCGAUGAAGGGCUCGAAACAAACGAAAAAGCACUAACUCUUAAUAUUGCGCUAUUUCAUUUUUGUUCUAGAUGUUUGAUAUAUGAUGCUUUCACAAAUAGGAUCAAAGGGAUCAAGAUGAAGAAUUGGGAUAAUAAGUGAAGAUGCUACAAGAAGCACUUACUGUUACUGCUGUUUGGAUGCUUUUACUGCUAUUUUUUUUGUUGCCGGUGCUGUUUUUUGCUGCUGCUGCCGCCGCUGCUGUUUUUUGCUGUUACUGUUGUCUGUUGCUGCCCCCUGCUGUUGCUUGCUGCCCCUGCUGCUACUUGCCGCCACUGCUGCUGCUGUUUGCCGCCAAUGCUGCUGCUAUCUGCCGCCACUACUGUCUGCUACUUUUGUUUGCUGCUACGUAAUGCUGUUUGCUGGUUUGUUACAGCUGCCGCCGUUCUGCUAGCUAGCUGCUGCUGCUAUUUGCUGUUAUUAAUGUUGUUUACUGCUAUCGCUGACUGUUUUUUGAAAUUUGGAAGUUUUCUUAUUUCCUCACUUUUUGUCAGCCAGAGAUCGUAGUUGCUUUUCAUUUUGUUUGGAUUAUUACGAAGUAUAUUGUUUGGCCAAACAUUAAAAUUGGUGUUUAUGAAUUUUUUUAUAAGACUUAUGAAAUUAUUUCAA